rnacentral:rRNA from 1 species
CCUACGGGAGGCUGCAGUGGGGAAUAUUGCACAAUGGGCGAAAGCCUGAUGCAGCAACGCCGCGUGAAGGAAGAAGGGUUUCGGCUCGUAAAAUUCUAUCAACCGGGGCGCAAGAACUGCCGGUACCUGAAUAAGAAGCCGCGGCUAACUACGUGCCAGCAGCCGCGGUCAUACGUAGGGGGCAAGCGUUAUCCGGAAUUACUGGGUUUAAAGGGUGAGUAGGCGGCAAGGUAAGCCCAAUGGGAAAGCCUUGGGCUUAACCCGAGGAUUGCAUUUGGAACUAGCAAGCUAGAGUACAGGAGAGGAAAGCGGAAGUCCUAGUGUAGCGGUGAAAUGCAUAGAUAUUAGGAAGAACACCAGUGGCGAAGGCGGCUUUCUGGACUGAAACUGACGCUGAGGCACGAAAGCGUGGGGAGCGAACAGGAUUAGAUACCCCAGUAGUC